rnacentral:rRNA from 1 species
GAUGAACGCUGGCGGCGUGCCUAAUACAUGCAAGUCGAGCGAACGGACGAGAAGCUUGCUUCUCUGAUGUUAGCGGCGGAGGGGUGAGUAACACGUGGAUAACCUACUUAUAAGAGUGGGAUAACUUCGGAAAACGGGAGCUAAUACCGGAUAAUAUUUUGAACCGCAUGGUUGAAAAGUAAAAGACGGCCUUGGUGUCAGUUAUAGAUGGAUCCGCGCUGCAUGAGCUAGUUGGUAAGGUAAUGGCUUACCAAGGCAACGAUGCAUAGCCGACGUGAGAGGGUGAUCGGCGACACUGGAACUGAGACAGGGUCAAGACUCCUGCGGGAGGCAGCAGUCGGGAAUCUUCGGCAAUGGGCGAAAGCAUGACGGAGCAGCGCCGCGUGAGUGAUGAAGAUCUUCGGAUCGUAAAGCUGUGUUAUUAGGGAAGAACAUAUGUGUAAGUAGCUGUGCACAUCUUGACGGUACCUAAUCAGAAAGCAACGGCUAACUACGUG